GAUGAACGCUGGCGGCGUGCUUAACACAUGCAAGUCGAACGGAGAUGUUGUGUGAGCGGAGAGUGCUUGCACUUAACAAUCUUUCAACAUCUUAGUGGCGGACGGGUGAGUAACGCGUGGGUAACCUGCCUCAUACAGGGGGAUAACACUUAGAAAUAGGUGCUAAUACCGCAUAAGCGCACAGUAUCGCAUGAUACAGUGUGAAAAACUCCGGUGGUAUACGAUGGACCCGCGUCUGAUUAGCUAGUUGGUGAGGUAACGGCCCACCAAGGCGACGAUCAGUAGCCGGCCUGAGAGGGUGAACGGCCACAUUGGGACUGAGACACGGCCCAAACUCCUACGGGAGGCAGCAGUGGGGAAUAUUGCACAAUGGGGGAAACCCUGAUGCAGCGACGCCGCGUGAGUGAAGAAGUAUUUCGGUAUGUAAGGCUCUAUCAGCAGGGAAGAUAAUGACGGUACCUGACUAAGAAGCCCCGGCUAACUACGU
rnacentral:rRNA from 1 species